rnacentral:rRNA from 1 species
AGUCUGAUCCUACCCUUUGGUAGGAUGGCGAACGGCUGAGUAACGCACGUACAACUUACCCUAAGGAUCUGGAUAACCUCGGGAAACUGAGGAUAAACCAGAAUAGGAGAGAGAUACUGGAAUGUUCUCUCUCCGAAAGUACUAUGGGGAAUAGCCCAUAGUAGCCUUAGGAUAGGUCUGUGUGGGAUUAUGGUAGUUGGUGAGGUAACGGCUCACCAAGCCUAUGAUCCCUAGGGGCCAUGAAAGUGGGAGCCCCCAGAAGGGCACUGAGACAAGGGCCCUAGCCCUACGGGGUGCAGCAGCCGCGAAACCUCUGCAAUGCGCGAAAGCGUGACAGGGGGACUCCGAGUGAUAUGGGUCUUAAGCCUAUAUCUUUUCCCAAGUGUAAAAAGCUUGGGGAAUAAGGGUGUGGGCAAGACCGGUGGCAGCCGCCGCGGUAACACCGGCGCCUCAAGUGGUGCUCACGAUUAUUGGGCUUAAAGCGCCCGUAGCCGGUUUAGUGUGUGCACUGUGAAAUGUUGGAGCUCAACUCCAACACGUGCAGUGUAUACUACUAGACUAGGGAGCGGGGGAGGAGGAGGGUACGUUCAGGCUAGCGGUAAAAUGCGUUGAACCUGAACGGACCACCAGUGGCGAAGGCGCUCCUCCAAAACGCGUCCGACGGUGAGGGGCGAAGGCUAGGGGAGCAAAAGGGAUUAGAUACCCCUGUAGUCCUAGCUGUAAAUGAUGCCCACUGCUCCUUACUGCUGC